GUUGAAACACCUGUUUCCGUACGAUCGCUGAAGUUAAGCAAUGUUGAACCGGGUCAGUUCCUAAAUGGGUGACCGCUUCGGAAUACCAG